AUGGCGUCGCCGCCGGCGACGUGGUCGGUCACCGCGUGCCUUACUUACCGUGGCGGGCUGGAGAUCCGCGCCGCCGCGAAGAACGUCCUCCCCGGCUGGGGCCACGGCGGCGAGCGCCUCUCCUUCCUCCUCCGCCUCCGCCGCCGCCUCCGCCUCGCCGUCACCUCCCAGUGCGGCCGCGCCCCCGCGCCCGCAGAUCCCGACAAGAAGCCGCGCGGCCUCAGGCUCCUCCGCUCCCUGCGGACCGGGCUCCCCUGCAUUUGGCGCCGGAAGAAGCCGCCGCGCGCCGCCGCGGCCAUGCCGGGUUCUCGCUCUCAGGCGAUCCCCUCUCUGCUGAAGGAUCGAGCUUUGAUGCGGCCGGCGACGACGGUGGCGCUGUGCUCCGUCGCCGCGCUCGCCGUCGCUGCGGCUUCUGUCGCGGCGCUUCGCCUCGUGGCUGGGUUCUUGACACCGAGCGCGAGCUGCGUAUCAUGGAGAUGCUUCUUGGCGAAGAAAUUCGUCAGGUUCUUGGGGCCUCCUCUCCUUGAGUGGAUCUCCGAGAUUAGCCUGAAACUUGUGGAUCCUCCUGCUCUCGGCGAGUGGCUCGGGCUCCCGAAGCUUGGCCUGAAGUGGCUCUUCAACAAGUAG
rnacentral:rRNA from 1 species